rnacentral:rRNA from 1 species
GUCUACAGCUAUGCCCUGCUGAACACGCCUGAUCCUGUCUGAUCUUGGAAGCUAAGCAGGGUCAGGCCCGGUUAGUACUUGGGUGGGAGACCACCUAGGAAGACUGGGUGUUGCAGGUG